ACUUUUGUAUUCGUCUUGGGUGCCUCAUGCCUGCUUCGUGGCGGGCUUUGACGGCUUAAAAGGGAAUUUCGUGCAAAACGAAAACUGUCCCCGCAACUGUAAGUUUCAUCCAACGUCGCUCUUAACAACUGCAUAAACCACUGGUUUUCAGUUCACAGUCCAUGGUUCACAGUCCGCAUUAUUUUUACUGCCAACUGUAAACUGCCAACUGUAAACUCCACGCCGGGAAGGUGCAAGGGCGAUGAAACAAGUCAGGAGACCUGCCCAAUAAACUAUUUAGUC
rnacentral:ncRNA from 2 species